AGAAUCAACGCUGGCGGCGUGCCUAACACAUGCAAGUCGAACGAGAAAGUGGAGCAAUCCAUGAGUAAAGUGGCGACCGGGUGAGUAACACGUGACUAACCUACCUUCGAGUGGGGAUAACCUCGGGAAACCGGGCUAAUACCGCAUAAUAUCCACGGAUCAAAGGAGCAAUUCGCUUGAAGAGGGGUCGCGGCUGAUUAGUUAGUUGGCGGGUAAUGGCCCACCAAGACAAUGAUCGGUA
rnacentral:rRNA from 1 species